AGUCAAUAGAUACCCCGGUAGUCCAUGCCGUAAACGAUGAUUGCUAGGUGUGGGGGGUCUGACCCUUCCGUGCCGGAGUUAAACACAAAUAAGCAAUCCACCUGGGGAGUACGGCCGCAAGGUUGAAACUCAAAGGAAUUGACGGGGGCCCGCACAAGCAGUGGAGUAUGUGGUUUAAUUCGAAGCAACGCGAAGAACCUUACCAGGUCUUGACAUCCACCGAAUCCUGUAGAGAUACGGGAGUGCCCUUCGGGGAACGGUGAGACAGGUGGUGCAUGGUUGUCGUCAGCUCGUGUCGUGAGAUGUUGGGUUAAGUCCCGCAACGAGCGCAACCCUUGUGAAUAGUUGCUACGAAAGAGCACUCUAUUCAGACCGCCGUUGACAAAACGGAGGAAGGUGGGGAUGACGUCAAAUCAUCAUGCCCCUUAUGACCUGGGCUACACACGUACUACAAUGGCC
rnacentral:rRNA from 1 species